AUGGCUGCCGAAGAUGGGAAGAUCUUCGUAAAGAGAGACACGCUCAAAAAAAUAGAAACAAAGAUUCAAACUUUUUGGAAAGAACAUGACGUUUAUAGGGCCGAAUCUCGCGAAAAGCCUCCUAAGCCAGGGGCGAAGUUCUUUGGAAACUUCCCGUUCCCCUACAUGAAUGGCUUUUUGCAUCUUGGACAUGCAUUCUCACUCUCAAAGUUAGAGUUUUCUGCACGUUAUCACAAACUAAGAGGUGCAAAUGUGCUCUUCCCUUUCGGUUUCCAUGGAACCGGAAUGCCCAUCAAAGCCUCUGCUGAUAAAAUUGCAUAAGAGAUCCAACAGUUUGGACACCCGCCUGUCUUUCCCAUCAAUGAAGAGGACCAAGUGGACCAAGAAGAAGUUGAAGAUGCAAAUGCAAGUGUACUUCUAGAAACUAAGUUCAAGGGAAAGAAGUCCAAGGCUGCAUCAAAAUCAAUGUGUGGACAAGCGUACCAGUGGGAAAUCAUGCCUAGUCUUGGCCUUUCUGACAGUGAGAUAUUCAAAUUCUGCGAACCAUCUGAGUGGUUGAAUAAAUUAUGGACCUACUAGUUGGGAGCUCAAGAGAGACUUAGGACCCCGUAUUUUGAUAAGUUUGUGAGGUGGCAAUUGCGGAAAUUGAAAGACAAAGAUAAGAUUGUCAAAGCGAAACGUUACACCAUCUACUCUCCAAUGGAUGGGCAACCAUGUGCAGAUCAUGAUAGGGCAAUUGGCAAAUGAGUUCAGCCCCAAGAAUAUACUAUCAUCAAAACGGAGGUGGCGAUACCUUUUCCUUCUAAGUUGGGAGUGUUGGAGGGGAGAAAAGUGCCCAAACACCUUGCUGCAGCAACAUUGAGACCUGAGACCAUGUAUGGACAAACAAAUGCAUGGGUAUUGCCCAAUGGAAGGUAUGGAGCCUUUGAAGUCAAUGAAACAGAUGUAUUUAUUCUUACGCAAAGAGCAGCACGUAAUCUUGCUUAUCAGGGGUUCUUUAGGAUACCUGAGAAACCUUCCUGCUUCAUUGAACUAACUGGUUAAGAUUUGAUUGGCCUUCCAUUGAAGUCACCACUUGCACAUCAUCAGAUUAUUUAUGCCCUUCCUAUGUUAACGAUCGAUGCAGACAAAGGGACUGGGAUUGUGACUAGUGUACCUAGGAUGCUCCUGAUGAUUAUAUGGCCCUGCAUGAUUUAAAAACGAAACCAACUUUUAGAAACAAAUAUGGUGUGAUGGAUGAAUGGGUUAUGCCCUUUGAGAUUGUACCGAUCAUCAAUUUGGAGAUAAGGCUGCGGAGAAGGUCUGUGGGGAUCUCAAGAUCAAAAGCCAGAAUGAGAAAGAGAAGCUAGCAGAAGCCAAGAGGUUAACAUACUUGAAAGGGUUUACAGAAGGAACACUGCUCGUGGGAGAAUUUGCAAGAAGGAGAGUCUAGGAGGCAAAAUCGUGGAUAAGGAGCAAACUAAUGGAGGCAGGAAAUGCAAUCAUUUAUAGAGAAUCGGAGAAGCACGUAGUGUCACGGUCAGGUGAUGAAUGUGUUGUGGCUCAAACAGAGCAAUGGUACAUCUUUUAUGGUGAAGCUGAAUGGAAAACUUUGGCUGAGGAAUGCUUGUCGAGCAUGAACUUGUACUCUGACGUGACACAACAUGGAUUUGAACACACGUUAAGUUGGUUGAAUCAGUGGGCUUGUUCACGAUCGUUUGGGCUUGGAACACGUAUUCCCUGGGAUGAAAAAUACUUGGUUGAGUCGUUGUCUGAUUCAACCCUUUACAUGGCUUAUUACACCAUUGCUCACUUUUUACACGAUGGGGACAUGUAUGGGGAUUCCACCACAUCUGGGGUUAUACCUGAACAAAUGACCGAUGAGGUAUGGGAUUUUAUCUUUUGUGAUGGCCCUUUCCAAAAUCAUCUGACAUAUCAUCAUCAAUUCUGAAUAAGAUGAAGCAGGAGUUCGAAUAUUGGUAUCCAUUUGAUCGUCGAGUGUUUGGUAAGGAUCUCAUCUAGAAUCAUUUUAACAUUUUGCAUUUACAACCACACGACAAUUAUGCUCAAGAAGCAUUGGCCUCGUGGGUAUAGAUGUAAUGGGCACCUCAUGCUCAAUUCUAAGAAGAUGUCCAAGUCCACAGGGAAUUUUUUGACAUUACGGCUGGCAAUAGAGGAAUAUUCUGCUGAUGCCACACGAAUGGCUGCCGAUGCCGGUGAUGGUGUUGAUGAUGCAAAUUUUGUAUUUGACACUGCAAAUGCUGCCAUUGGAUGACUCACUAAAGAGAUUGCAUGGAUGGAGAAGAAUUUGAGUGCAAACUCUUUGAGAAGAUAUUCUCCUUCUACUUUUGCGAACCAUGUCUUUUUGAAUGAAAUAAAUAUCGUUGUGAAAAGGACUGAGCAAAACUACCAGUCUUGCAUGUUCCGAGAAGCCCUUAUCACUAGAGUUUAUGGUCUUCAAGAUGCCAGGGAUUGGUACGAGCUUUCAUGUCGUGCUCAGGACAUGAAUCGAGAUUUGGUGUGGCAUUAUAUGGAUGUAGAGACGCGCAUGGUUGCUCCAAUCUGUCCACACUAUGCUGAAUAUGUGUGGAGGGAGGUUUUGAAGAAGGAUGGAUUUGUAGUAAGCGCAGGCUGGCCUGCAGCUGAUGCUCUAGAUCUAAUCCUCCAAAGUGCCAAUAACUAUUUGAAAAAGUCGAUUGAUGUAAUGAGGAAGAAGCUUAGAAAGCACCAGCCAAAUUCUAAGAAAGCCGGUAAUAAUGGUGCUCCAAUUUCAUCUUUAGUAGAAGGGAAGAAGCUAAUAGGCCUGAUAUAUGUGAAGGAGCAAUUUGAUGAGUGGAAGGCAGAUUGCUUGAGGAUACUUCAGAAUAACUUCAACAUAGAGACUCGUACUUUUGCUUCGGACAGGGUGAUAUUGGAGGCAUUGCAGAGUAGUUCUCUUGGACAGGCUAAAGAUUUUAGACAAAUCCAGAAUCUUUGCAUGCCUUUCGUGAAGUCGAAGAAGAAUGAGGUAGUUCAACUUGGGGCUCAGGCCUUAGAUUUGAAGUUACCAUAUGGAGAGAUUGAGGUACUUAAAGAGAACUUAGACUUGAUUAAGAGUCAACUGGAUCUUGAAGAGGUAGAAGUUUUGUCUGCUGCCAACCCUGAUAAUCGUGCAAAAGUUGGUCCUCAUGUUAAACAAAUAGAGCAGAAUCCUCCAUUCCCUGGAAGCCCAACUACCAUCUUCUUGACCCGGUAA